rnacentral:pre_miRNA from 1 species
CAAGUACUCCCUUCGUCCGGAAUUACUUGUCAUCAAAAUGGAUGUGUCUAGAACUAAAAUACAUCUAGAUACAUCCAUUUUAAUGACAAGUAUUUUCGGACGGAGGGAGUACAAG